rnacentral:rRNA from 1 species
UACAGAGGGUGCGAGCGUUAAUCGGAAUUACUGGGCGUAAAGCGUGCGUAGGCGGUAAGAGAAGUUGAUUGUGAAAGCCCUGGGCUCAACCUGGGAACUGCAGUCAAAACUCUCUUACUAGAGUACAGUAGAGGUAAGUGGAAUUUCCGGUGUAGCGGUGAAAUGCGUAGAUAUCGGAAGGAACACCAGUGGCGAAGGCGACUUACUGGACUGAUACUGACGCUGAGGCACGAAAGCGUGGGGAGCAAACAGG